AUGAAAGUGUUCGGAAUUGCACAAGGAAUUUAUUCUAGCCUAAACACAUGCCAAAGGUUUCAAAAACGGAGUUGGUUCGUUCAAAAAACGCUUCUAAGGGCCAUUGUCGUGACUACUACCGUAGCAGAAAACGGUAAAAAAAAGUUGUCCGAAACAGAAAACAGAUUACGCAAACAGCUCCGGAACAAACAAAAUAAUCGGUUUUCAUUAAAGAAAGUCAUAAGAACUCAAAGCGGAUUGAAAGUUACGGUAUAA